CAGGCCUAACACAUGCAAGUCGAGCGGACUUAUCCUUCGGGAUAGGUUAGCGGCGGACGGGUGAGUAACACGUAGGCAACCUGCCUGUAAGAUCGGGAUGACUACCGGAAACGGUAGCUAAGACCGGAUAGCUGGUUUCUCCGCAUGGGGGAAUCAUGAAACAUGGGGCAACCUAUGGCUUACGGAUGGGCCUGCGGCGCAUUAGCUAGUUGGUGGGGUAAUGGCCCACCAAGGCGACGAUGCGUAGCCGACCUGAGAGGGUGAUCGGCCACACUGGGACUGAGACACGGCCCAGACUCCUACGGGAGGCAGCAGUAGGGAAUCUUCCGCAAUGGGCGCAAGCCUGACGGAGCAACGCCGCGUGAGUGAUGAAGGUUUUCGGAUCGUAAAGCUCUGUUGCCAAGGAAGAACGCCUCGGAGAGUAACUGCUCUGAGGGUGACGGUACUUGAGAAGAAAGCCCCGGCUAACUACGUGCCAGCAGCCGCGGUAAUACGUAGGGGGCAAGCGUUGUCCGGAAUUAUUGGGCGUAAAGCGCGCGCAGGCGGUCUUUUAAGUUUGGUGUUUAAGCCCGGGGCUCAACCCCGGUUCGCACUGAAAACUGGGAGACUUGAGUGCAGGAGAGGAAAGCGGAAUUCCACGUGUAGCGGUGAAAUGCGUAGAGAUGUGGAGGAACACCAGUGGCGAAGGCGGCUUUCUGGACUGUAACUGACGCUGAGGCGCGAAAGCGUGGGGAGCAAACAGGAUUAGAU
rnacentral:rRNA from 1 species